rnacentral:rRNA from 1 species
GUGGGGAAUAUUGGACAAUGGGGGGAACCCUGAUCCAGCCAUGCCGCGUGUGUGAAGAAGGCCUUUUGGUUGUAAAGCACUUUAAGCGAGGAGGAGGCUACUCUAGUUAAUACCUAGAGAUAGUGGACGUUACUCGCAGAAUAAGCACCGGCUAACUCUGUGCCAGCAGCCGCGGUAAUACAGAGGGUGCAAGCGUUAAUCGGAUUUACUGGGCGUAAAGCGCGCGUAGGUGGCCAAUUAAGUCAAAUGUGAAAUCCCCGAGAUUAACUUGGGAAUUGCAUUGGGUACUGGUUGGCUAGAGUAUGGGAGAGGAUGGUAGAAUUCCAGGUGUAGCGGUGAAAUGCGUAGAGAUCUGGAGGAAUACCGAUGGCGAAGGCAGCCAUCUGGCCUAAUACUGACACUGAGGUGCGAAAGCAUGGGGAGCAAACAGGAUUAGAAACCCCAGUAGUCC